GACGAACGCUGGCCGUGUGCUUAACACAUGCAAGUCGAACGGAAAGGCCCUGCUUUUGUGGGGUGCUCGAGUGGCGAACGGGUGAGUAACACGUGAGUAACCUGCCCUUGACUUUGGGAUAACUUCAGGAAACUGGGGCUAAUACCGGAUAGGAGCUCCUGCUGCAUGGUGGGGGUUGGAAAGUUUCGGCGGUUGGGGAUGGACUCGCGGCUUAUCAGCUUGUUGGUGGGGUAGUGGCUUACCAAGGCUUUGACGGGUAGCCGGCCUGAGAGGGUGACCGGCCACAUUGGGACUGAGAUACGGCCCAGACUCCUACGGGAGGCAGCAGUGGGGAAUAUUGCACAAUGGGCGGAAGCCUGAUGCAGCAACGCCGCGUGCGGGAUGACGGCCUUCGGGUUGUAAACCGCUUUCGCCUGUGACGAAGCGUGAGUGACGGUAAUGGGUAAAGAAGCACCGGCUAACUACGUGCCAGCAGCCGCGGUGAUACGUAGGGUGCGAGCGUUGUCCGGAUUUAUUGGGCGUAAAGGGCUCGUAGGUGGUUGAUCGCGUCGGAAGUGUAAUCUUGGGGCUUAACCCUGAGCGUGCUUUCGAUACGGGUUGACUUGAGGAAGGUAGGGGAGAAUGGAAUUCCUGGUGGAGCGGUGGAAUGCGCAGAUAUCAGGAGGAACACCAGUGGCGAAGGCGGUUCUCUGGGCCUUUCCUGACGCUGAGGAGCGAAAGCGUGGGGAGCGAACAGGCUUAGAUACCCUGGUAGUCCACGCUGUAAACGGUGGGUACUAGGUGUGGGGUCCAUUCCACGGGUUCCGUGCCGUAGCUAACGCUUUAAGUACCCCGCCUGGGGAGUACGGCCGCAAGGCUAAAACUCAAAGGAAUUGACGGGGCCCCGCACAAGCGGCGGAGCAUGCGGAUUAAUUCGAUGCAACGCGUAGAACCUUACCUGGGUUUGACAUGGAUCGGGAGCGCUCAGAGAUGGGUGUGCCUCUUUUGGGGUCGGUUCACAGGUGGUGCAUGGCUGUCGUCAGCUCGUGUCGUGAGAUGUUGGGUUAAGUCCCGCAACGAGCGCAACCCUUGUUCACUGUUGCCAGCACGUUAUGGUGGGGACUCAGUGGAGACCGCCGGGGUCAACUCGGAGGAAGGUGGGGAUGACGUCAAGUCAUCAUGCCCCUUAUGUCCAGGGCUUCACGCAUGCUACAAUGGCUGGUACAGAGAGUGGCGAGCCUGUGAGGGUGAGCGAAUCUCGGAAAGCCGGUCUCAGUUCGGAUUGGGGUCUGCAACUCGACCUCAUGAAGUCGGAGUCGCUAGUAAUCGCAGAUCAGCAACGCUGCGGUGAAUACGUUCCCGGG
rnacentral:rRNA from 1 species